CCUACGGGAGGCAGCAGUGAGGAAUAUUGGUCAAUGGCCGGAAGGCUGAACCAGCCAUGCCGCGUGAAGGUCAGUGCCCUAUGGGCGUUAAACUUCUUUUGUGCGGGAGCAAUAAUGGUCACGUGUGGCCAGACGAGAGUACCGUACGAAUAAGCAUCGGCUAACUCCGUGCCAGCAGCCGCGGUAAUACGGGGGAUGCAAGCGUUAUCCGGAUUUAUUGGGUUUAAAGGGUGCGUAGGCUGUGAGGGAAGUCAGCGGUGAAAUGCCCCCGCUCAACGGGGUGAAGUGCCAUUGAUACUGCCUGGCUGGAAUGCGGAUGCCGUGGGAGGAAUGUGUGGUGUAGCGGUGAAAUGCAUAGAUAUCACACAGAACACCGAUUGCGAAGGCAUCUCACGAAUCCGCGAUUGACGCUGAUGCACGAAAGCGUGGGUAUCAAACAGGAUUAGAUACCCUUGUAGUC
rnacentral:rRNA from 1 species